rnacentral:lncRNA from 1 species
AGGGGAUUCAUCAGAGAAAAUGACUUUACCCCAGUCCUCAGCAGUCCAAUCCCUGUAUCUUUUGCAGAAUAUCAGUCUGUCCCUGAUGUUUUUCCUGGAGAGAAGUGGCUUCUUUGCUGCCCUUCUUGACACCAGGCCAUCCUCCAAAAGUAUUCGCCUCACUGUGCGUGCAGAUGCACUCACACCUGCCUGCUGCCAUUCCUGAGCAAGCUCUGUAGUAGUGGUGCCCCGAUCCCGCAGCUGAAUCAACUUUAGGAGACGCUCCUGGCGCUUGCUGGACUUUCUUGGGCGCCCUGAAGCCUUCUUCACAACAAUUGAACCACUCUCCUUGAAGUUCUUGAUGAUCUGAUAAAUGGUUGAUUUAGGUGCAAUCUUACUGGCAGCAAUAUCCUUGCCUGUGAAGCCCUUUUUGUGUAAAGCAAUGAUGAUGGCGCAUGUUUCCUUGCAGGUAACCAUGGUUGACAGGGGAAGAACAAUGAUUGCAAGCACCACCCUCCUUUUGAAGCUUCCAGGCUGUUGUUCGAACUCAAUCAGCAUGACAGAGCAGCUGGUCCUUUUGUGGUACCAACAACAAUGCUCAGACAGAGGAGGCCCAGGAAACGGCCCUGCCGGGGCCAACAUCAAACUGGUCAGCUCAACACUUCUCAUAGAGCGGCACCUGGUCAAAUAUCUGCUGGCUGCAGAAUCAUGAAUCGAAGAGGGGACCAGAACCCCUCGAAUGAAAGUCAAGCACGACCAAUGUUUAGUGAGGUCAUUUGCACUCACGAUUAAAGGAGAUCCAUGAAGUGAACAUGGACAGCAUCUCUAAGCCUGAUUUCUCAUAGGAGGACGGGUUGGACGGGACAGUGCAUUUCCUCAAAAUCAAGGUAGUCCCUGACAGUUGGAAGAUGGACCUGAGCGAGAUCUUAGAAUCGUCGAGGAGGACAAGGAAGGAAAGGAGAGCGAAGAGGAGAAAGAGGUGCUAAGGGUGGUCACACAAUUGUGGUGUCCUAGCUCCUCAACUACCCCAACAACAUUGUUUCGGGCCCCAUGCCAGACUUAUCUCAUCUCUCACCCCCCUCCCAAGACACCUCUCAGGCUCCAUGACUUCCAUUCCAAGCCCUGGCCAUGGUAGUGCCUCCCCAAGAGCCAGACAGGGUACCCUCCAACAUCACAAUACCUCCACUUGUCAUCACAAAAGAGGCUGAGCCCCCUACAGGUUAACGCCGUUGCUGCAGAGUGCAUUGUGGAAGAGACUGAGAGCAAGCUGAAUGAGUUGAGCCAAUGGAUCUCAGCCAUAGAGAAGGCAGAGCUGCAGCAGAAGAAAAUCCUCAAGGAGCAGUUAACCAAAGUGUACAUGAAGGUCAAAGGCCUGAAGGAUGACCCAGGAAAAGUAGUUGCUGGAGAUGAUCGUGGACUACAGGAAAAGGAGGGCCGAACAGGCCUCCAUUAACAUCGACGGGGCUGUAGUGGAGCGGGUCGAGAGUUUCAAGUUCCUUGGUGUCCACAUCACCAACAAACUAUCAUGGUCCAAACACACCAAGACAAUCAUGAAGAGGGCACGGCAACACCUUUUCCCCCACAGGAGACUGAAAAGAUUUGGUAUGGGUUCCAAGUUCCUCAAAAAGUUCUUCAGCUGCACCAUCGAGAGCAUUCUGUCUGGUUGCAUCACCGCCUGGCAUGGCAACUGCUCCGCAUCUGACCGUACCCCCUGUAUAUAGCCUCGUUAUUGUUAUGUAAUUUUAUUGUUACUUUUUAUGACAUUUUUUACUUUAGUUAUUUAGUAAAUAUUUUCUAUAUUUCUUGAACUGCAUUGUUGGUUAAGGGCUUGUAAAUAAGCAUUUCACGGUAAGAUCUACACAUGUUAUAUUCGGAGCAUGUGACAAAUAACAUUUGAUUUGAUUUAUUUGAUUUACUACCUUGACAGCAGCUAAAGGAAUCCC